UGUUUCGUAGCUGCCAGAAAUAGAAAUAUAAUGGCGUCACUUUCGACGGGGCGUUAUUUCAAGACGAAUGUCAAGCAUGGAGCCAGCUGUUGCAUCCUGCGAACUUCCAAAUGGGUUGCCCGACGCAAUUUUCUCCGUAUUAUUUUUGUUUGGACAUAAAAAUAUAACAUAUUUCUUCGUCACAAAGAAAAAUAGAUGUGCGGGCGUGCCAGUGUACUGGAGUACACAAAAAUAAAUAAAUAAAGGGAAC
rnacentral:lncRNA from 1 species